UAGUCCACGCAGUAAACGAUGAAUACUUGAUGUAGGAGGUAUCGACCCCUUCUGUGUCGAAGUUAACGUAUUAAGUAUUCCACCUGGGGAGUACGACCGCAAGGUUGAAACUCAAAGGAAUUGACGGGGACCCGCACAAGCAGUGGAGUAUGUGGUUUAAUUCGAGGCAACGCGAAGAACCUUACCAAGGCUUGACAUCAUUUUGAAGAUUGCUAGAGAUAGUGAUCCUUCCCUUCGGGGACAGAAUGAC
rnacentral:rRNA from 1 species